rnacentral:lncRNA from 1 species
ACGCAUUAUUUAAAAGCUAAGUGUUAAGUUUGACCCUCACACUCAAGCAUGCCGUUGACAUCAUUCUUCUUCCAAGCAACCGUGUUUCUUUCUAGCCAUGCAUAUCAAAAACAAAGAAAAUAUUCAUGUGUUGCAUCUAUUUAAAUUAUUUUAUUCAAUAGAUACAAUAAGUAGAUGCAUUAACUCAACUAAAUAACAAUAUUCCAAAUUGCUCUAUCUCCUUCUCCGCAUGUGUUGUGAACAUCUUUCAUCCUCGCCACU